rnacentral:rRNA from 1 species
CAGUCGCCGCGGUAAUACGAAGGGUGCAAGCGUUACUCGGAAUUACUGGGCGUAAAGCGUGCGUAGGUGGUGGUUUAAGUCCGUUGUGAAAGCCCUGGGCUCAACCUGGGAAUUGCAGUGGAUACUGGGUCACUAGAGUGUGGUAGAGGAUAGUGGAAUUUCCGGUGUAGCAGUGAAAUGCGUAGAGAUCGGAAGGAACAUCUGUGGCGAAGGCGACUAUCUGGGCCAACACUGACACUGAGGCACGAAAGCGUGGGGAGCAAACAGGAUUAGAGACCCCCGUAGUCCUUGUCUCUUAUAA